GAGGAGGGCCUCAUUUAAAUGAAGCUGCUACACAAUGUGAGAUUACACUCCGGGGUGUGUGUAGGACAUGCUCUGCUCAUACAGAGCCAAACCAGCCGAGAAGAUAAAGAUGAGGAAACGCAGGGAAAUUACAGCGCACCGCGGUGCUAUCACCCCUCGGCAGAGCUGGAGGGACCAUCUUUAGCGGUGAUGACUACUGCCAGCCAAAGACGAGAAGAAACCCAAUACCAAGGUACAUUUUCCUGAAGAAGAAUGUUGUUCCAAGAGUGGAGAGCUGCAGACAGAGCAGAGGGGUCCAGGUCCAGGUGGAGAGAUUCAUACAAGAUGCGGCUGGACACCAGCGCUGCAGUGGAACGGCAUCACAAGGAUCCUGGUUCACAUUCCAACAACAGCCCAGCAGACUGCCUACAGGAACCCAGUUGGUCUGACCAGACGCUGACGGAGAGCAUGGAGCAUCACUGCUGCUGAAUUCCUGCGGUGGUUUUCUGACAGAGCAGGUAGACUGGAGUCCCUGCUGACACACCAAAAAGCUAAGGAUGGCUUUUUCCUACAGGCUGGAGCAGGCAGCACACACAGCCGGCCCAUCUUCAUGUUUCAGAAACAGGAGCUGUCCUGUUUCUGAAACUGUGGCUGCUCUAAAGGUCUCUGAGAGGGCGUGCAAAGGACACCAACGCCAACAAGGGGAGUGAUUAGAAUUGGGCCAGCGGUAAAUGAGACCCUGGGCUCCCCUCUGAUCUGUCACCAAAAGGAUUGUUGACUCCAGAGUUUUGGGCCAAUUCUCCAGACAGCCCACCCAAGGCUGCUAGGGCCUUGGUGACGAUGCCAUCUGGUCCUGUGUUGUCCGGAAUCAUACCCAUGUAUCUAUGUAACACUCUGUCUCCGUAGGUGCUCCCAGGCGCACACCCUUCUUCAUCACAAAACGUGUUUCCAAACAGAAGACACAAACACAGCAGCUCUAGUACAAACUUCAUAUUGUCGAUUUAGUCUGAGAUUUUGUCCAAAUUUUCAGAUUGGACAAUAUUGAACAAGGAACUGUCAAAAUCUGGAUUUCAGACUUUUAUCACAAGUCUGCAUCUUUCACUACAGAAAGGACAUUGAUGAAGACUGUUUUUAUGUGACUCCACAAGGAGAAUCAUGGAUUCAGUCCGCUGUCAGCUGCAGUGUAACAUUUGUUUUGUCAUGUCGCAUGGCUGCAAUCUGUGUCCCGACAAGGGGAAUCAUGUUUUGCAGUCUGCUACUGGCAGUGUUUUAUGUUUUAUGUUUGAUUGUGUUUUGACUGUUUUCACCGUGUUGUUUUAUUAAACCUUUUGCUUAACCUUUCAAUUCGA